AUUGAACGCUGGCGGCAGGCCUAACACAUGCAAGUCGAGCGAGCGGCGGACGGGUGAGUAAUGUCUGGGAAACUGCCUGAUGGAGGGGGAUAACUACGGGAAACGGUAGCUAAUCCCGCAUACCAUCAGAUGUGCCCAGAUGGGAUUAGCUAGUAGGUGGGGUAACGGCUCCCCGAGGCGACGAUCCCUAGCUGGUCUGAGAGGAUGACCAGACACACGGGAACUGAGAUACGGUCCAGAUUCCGACGGGAGGCAGCAGUGGGGAAUAUUGGACAAUGGGCGUAAGCCUGAUGCAGCCAUGCCGCGUGUGGGAAGAAGGCCUUCGGGUUGUAAAGCACUUUCAGCGGGGAGGCGUUACCCGCAGAAGAAGCACCUGCUAACUCCGUGCCAGCAGCCGCGGUAAUAC
rnacentral:rRNA from 1 species